GAACUACAGCCCCUACUUCAAGACCAUUGAGGAGCUCCAUGACAAGAUCCUGGCGGCCACCAUUGACAACAACUGGGUCAUCCUGGAGAUCGACAACGCCCGGCGGCGGACG
rnacentral:pre_miRNA from 1 species